CCUACGGGAGGCAGCAGUGGGGAAUUUUGGACAAUGGACGCAAGUCUGAUCCAGCCAUGCCGCGUGUGGGAAGAAGGCCUUCGGGUUGUAAACCACUUUUGUCAGGGAAGAAACGGCUCGGGUUAAUACCUUGGGCUAAUGACGGUACCUGAAGAAUAAGCACCGGCUAACUACGUGCCAGCAGCCGCGGUAAUACGUAGGGUGCAAGCGUUAAUCGGAAUUACUGGGCGUAAAGCGUGCGCAGGCGGUUAUGCAAGACAGAUGUGAAAUCCCCGGGCUCAACCUGGGAACUGCAUUUGUGACUGCAUGGCUAGAGUACGGUAGAGGGGGAUGGAAUUCCGCGUGUAGCAGUGAAAUGCGUAGAUAUGCGGAGGAACACCGAUGGCGAAGGCAAUCCCCUGGACCUGUACUGACGCUCAUGCACGAAAGCGUCGGGGAGCAAACAGGAUUAGAUACCCUGGUAGUCCACGCCCUAAACGAUGUCAACUGGUUGUUGGGAGGGUUUCUUCUCAGUAACGUAGCUAACGCGUGAAGUUGACCGCCUGGGGAGUACGGCCGCAAGGUUGAAACUUAAAUGAAUUGACGGCNGAGAGNGCGAGACGACACGAGGGAGGAGG
rnacentral:rRNA from 1 species